ACCCUGGAUAUCCAUCUUGGGGGCUCCUGACUCCCUCAGCCCUUACUCUUUCAGCUCUCUAGUAGGUCUCUUGUCAGAAAAAUACCAGCUUUUCAUUUCAAUCAAAUUACUGUGAUGGCCCAGAAGGUGGUAAAAUAGUAUAAGGGUUCUCUUUGUCAGGAACCUUGAAAAAGCUAUAUCUUUUAUUCGGUUGAAAUUUCUACUAACCUGAAGACAUGAAAGAAGAAAGGAACAAUAAGUCCCAAGGAAACACUGACUCUUGAGAAGAGUGGGACCUAGGGGAGGAAAAAGGAGGAGUCCAGGCCUCUGCCAGGCAGCAUCCUGAGCGACUACACCACAGCCCCAGAACUGCCUCACAUCCUCAUCUUCCCAACACCUCCUUAUUCAACUCCUCUCACUUCUAAGCUCUCCAAU
rnacentral:lncRNA from 1 species